GACGAACGCUUGCGACGUGCCUAAGAAAUGCAAGUCGAACGGGGGAGCAAUCCCUAGUGGCGAACGGUCGCGUAACACGUGGGCAACCUGCCCUGAAGCGGGGGACAACAAGUCGAAAGGUUUGCUAAUACCGCAUGUGUCUCGCUGUGGCAUCACAGAGGAGACAAAGCCGCAAGGCACUUCAGGAUGGGCCCGCGGCCUAUCAGCUUGUUGGUGAGGUAACGGCCCACCAAGGCUUCGACGGGUAGCUGGUCUGAGAGGACGAUCAGCCGGAUUGGGACUGAGAUACGGCCCAGACUCCGUACGGGGGCAGCAAUUAGGAAUCUUGCACAAUGGGCGAAAGCCUGAUGCAGCGACGUCGCGUGAAGGAUGAAAUC
rnacentral:rRNA from 1 species